rnacentral:tRNA from 1 species
UGUGUUGUAAAUCAGUUGGUCAAAGUGCCUGUCUAGUAAACAGGAUAUCCUGGGUUCGACUCCCAGCGGUGCCU